GUAUAGAUUAAAACGCUAACUUCGUUUCGUUGAAAUUAUGGUAGGAUAUAUACCACUAGCAUUAGUGAGAAUCUAUUUUCUGGGCGUCUAACAAUUUUAUUCACCAUCCUGUGUUGUAUUUUAACAACUCUUCUAAUGAACCUUCGACAAAUAGAGGCUUUUUGUUUCAUGCACUUAACAUUUAUUUAUCAAUUGUACAUAUUGUAUAUAUUCAUAUACUAUAUAUAAGUAGAACAUAAAACAAACUCAUAAAUAUUAAAUAUAAUUUUUAUAUUUGACAAAUUAUAAAUAAGCUUUCAUAGCGCUCGAUAUAUACUUAAAGAAUUCUCUCACAACAUUCUCGUUCUCUUUAUGUUCCACAAUGCCAAUAAACUGCAUGGCCACGAACAGCAUUAACAGGACGACAAAUGUACAAACCAACCACAGGCAAAAUCUGGAAAAGUUCGGUUAGUUACACAGGCCGGAUAUUGUUUAUAUAACAUUUCCAAGACAAUCGUUACAAAACGUAUAAAACAUAUUGGUAAACUUUUAAUUAUAUAAAAAAAAAUAUUUUAGGUACCAAAAGUGAUAUUUAUAGCCAUUAUUUAAUCCAUAGAGUCAAUCAAUAGAGUUAAUAGAGAUAUAUAUUAUCUAAGCAUUAACCAUUAAGGACUACCGUACAAUCAUACAACUUAAACAAAUUUCGGCUUAAGAACGACAAAAUACUGAAAUUGGUUGGAUCCAUUCAAAUCCACCAACAAUUGUACUAGUCUAUGUAGAAAGUUCUCAUGAUGUCUGAGAAUCGAACGCUUUUUUAAACGAAAUAACAUUCGCAUAUCAACCUGUGAAAGGCCUCAAAAUAAAGCUCAUCAAUUCUUGCAUAAUCGAGUUUUCUUUAUCGGCAUCUGGACUUUUGUGAAAAACAAAAGCUCCAAAGCAAAUUGUUAAGAAAAUUAUUAAGGCGAUGAUCACAAUGCAGGCGGUGGCACAAAACACGUUGUAUCUGCAGCCGCUGAAAGAGAACGUGCAAAAAGUGUACUCAUUAUUGGAGAAACACUCUGAAAGUAUUAUAUAUAUAUUUUAAGCAAUAUAAAGAAUCAAGACUUUGUCCUUACCAACACAUAUUCUUCUGUUUGUUUUUGCCUUGUUGUUUGUAUUAAAGAGUUUUAGCAAAUUA